GAUGAACGCUGACAGAAUGCUUAACACAUGCAAGUCAACUUGAAUUUGGGUUUUUAACUUAGAUUUGGGUGGCGGACGGGUGAGUAACGCGUAAAGAACUUGCCUCACAGCUAGGGACAACAUUUAGAAAUGAAUGCUAAUACCUGAUAUUAUGAUUUUAAGGCAUCUUAGAAUUAUGAAAGCUAUAAGCACUGUGAGAGAGCUUUGCGUCCCAUUAGCUAGUUGGAGAGGUAACAGCUCACCAAGGCGAUGAUGGGUAGCCGGCCUGAGAGGGUGAACGGCCACAAGGGGACUGAGACACGGCCCUUACUCCUACGGGAGGCAGCAGUGGGGAAUAUUGGACAAUGGACCGAGAGUCUGAUCCAGCAAUUCUGUGUGCACGAUGAAGUUUUUCGGAAUGUAAAGUGCUUUCAGUUGGGAAGAAACAAAUGACGGUACCAACAGAAGAAGUGACGGCUAAAUACGUGCCAGCAGCCGCGGUAAUACGUAUGUCACGAGCGUUAUCCGGAUUUAUUGGGCGUAAAGCGCGUCUGGUGGUUAUGUAAGUCUGAUGUGAAAGUGCAGGGCUCAACUCUGUAUUGCGUUGGAAACUGUAUAACUAGAGUACUGGAAGAGGUAAGCGGAACUACCAGUGUAGAGGGGAAUUCUUAGAUGUUUGUAGAAUGGCGAUGGGGAGCCCACUUACUGGAGGAUACUAACACUAAGCGCGAGGGUGGGGGAGGACACAAUUAAUACCCAGUAUGCAAAGGCGGAGUCCGGGCGGGAUUACUUUUUCAUGCGGGGGAGCGCGAGGGGGAGCCGCGGACCCCCCCCUGUGCGCGCUCGGCAGCGGGCGGGCGGGGCGAGUUAAGGGGGGGCGUUUUCACUAACUUUUUUUGUCAAGGACCCCCCCCUUCUGGGGGGGGGAGAAAAAAGAAACCCCCCCAAAAAAAUGAGGGGAAAAAAAAAAAAAAAUAUCCCCUGUUUUUUUUUUUUAAAAAAGAGAUUGUUCCCCGAGCAUGAAAAGCAAAGAGGGGGGCGCAGGGGA
rnacentral:rRNA from 1 species